GACGAACGCUGGCGGCGUGCCUAAUACAUGCAAGUCGAACGCAGUGGGGACGGGUGAGUAACACGUGGGUAACCUCCCAUCAGAGGGGAGAACACUUGGAAACAGGUGCUAACCCGAUACGGAUGGAUGGACCCGCGGGGCAUUAGCUAGUUGGUGAGGUAACGGCUCACCAAGGCCACGAUGCGUAGCCGACCUGAGAGGGGGAUCGGCCACACGGUGACUGAGACACGGCCCAGACUCCUACGUGAGGCAGCAGUAGGGAAUCUUCGGAAAUGGACGAAAGUCUGACCGAGCAACGCCGCGUGAGUGAAGAAGGUUUUCGGAUCGUAAAUCGCUGUUGUUUGAGAAGCGGUAUCUAACCAGAAAGCCACGGCUAACUACGUGCCAGCAGCCGCGGUAAUUC
rnacentral:rRNA from 1 species